rnacentral:rRNA from 1 species
UACAGAGGGUGCGAGCGUUGUUCGGAAUUAUUGGGCGUAAAGAGCUCGUAGGCGGUGUGUCACGUCGGCCGUGAAAACCUGCAGCUUAACUGUGGGCGUGCGGUCGAUACGGGCAUCACUGGAGUUCGGCAGGGGAGACUGGAAUUCCUGGUGUAGCGGCGGAAUGCGCAGAUAUCAGGAGGAACACCGAUGGCGAAGGCAGAUCUCUGGGCCGUAACUGACGCUGAGGAGCGAAAGCAUGGGGAGCGAACAGG